rnacentral:rRNA from 1 species
CCUACGGGUGGCAGCAGUGAGGAAUCUUGGUCAAUGGGCGCGAGCCUGAACCAGCCAAGUAGCGUGAAGGAUGACUGCCCUACGGGUUGUAAACUUCUUUUAUAAAGGAAUAAAGUGAGGCACGUGUGCCUUUUUGUGUGAACUUUAUGAAUAAGGAUCGGCUAACACCGUGCCAUCAGCCGCGGUAAUACGGAGGAUACGAGAGUUAUCCGGAUUUAGUGGGUUUAAAGGGAGCGUAGAUGGGUUGUUAAGUAAGUUGUGAAAGUUUGCGGCUCAACCGUAAAAGUGCAAUUGAUACUGGCAUUCUUGAGUACAGUUGAGGUAGGCGGAAUUCGUGGUGUAGCGGUGAAAUGCUUAGAUAUCACGAAGAACUCCGAUUGCGAAGGCAGCUUACUAAACUGCCACUGACAUUGAUGCUCGAAAGUGUGGGUAUCAAACAGGAUUAGAUACCCUAGUAGUC